AGAGUUUGAUCCUGGCUCAGGAUGAACGCUAGCGACAGGCCUAACACAUGCAAGUCGAGGGGCAGCGGAGAGGUAGCAAUACCUUUGCCGGCGACCGGCGCACGGGUGAGUAACACGUAUGCAAUCCACCUGUAACAGGGGGAUAACCCGGAGAAAUCCGGACUAAUACCCCAUAAUAUGGGCUCUCCGCAUGGAGGGUCCAUUAAAGAGAGCAAUUUUGGUUACAGACGAGCAUGCGCUCCAUUAGCCAGUUGGCGGGGUAACGGCCCACCAAAGCGACGAUGGAUAGGGGUUCUGAGAGGAAGGUCCCCCACAUUGGAACUGAGACACGGUCCAAACUCCUACGGGAGGCAGCAGUGAGGAAUAUUGGUCAAUGGACGAGAGUCUGAACCAGCCAAGUAGCGUGAAGGAUGACUGCCCUAUGGGUUGUAAACUUCUUUUAUACGGGAAUAAAGUGAGGCACGUGUGCCUUUUUGUAUGUACCGUAUGAAUAAGGAUCGGCUAACUCCGUGCCAGCAGCCGCGGUAAUACGGAGGAUCCGAGCGUUAUCCGGAUUUAUUGGGUUUAAAGGGAGCGUAGAUGGGUUGUUAAGUCAGUUGUGAAAGUUUGCGGCUCAACCGUAAAAUUGCAGUUGAUACUGGCAGUCUUGAGUACAGUUGAGGUAGGCGGAAUUCGUGGUGUAGCGGUGAAAUGCUUAGAUAUCACGAAGAACUCCGAUUGCGAAGGCAGCUUACUGGACUGUAACUGACGCUGAUGCUCGAAAGUGUGGGUAUCAAACAGGAUUAGAUACCCUGGUAGUCCACACAGUAAACGAUGAAUACUCGCUGUUUGCGAUAUACAGUAAGCGGCCAAGCGAAAGCAUUAAGUAUUCCACCUGGGGAGUACGCCGGCAACGGUGAAACUCAAAGGAAUUGACGGGGGCCCGCACAAGCGGAGGAACAUGUGGUUUAA
rnacentral:rRNA from 1 species